UCUGUAGCUCAGUUGGAUAGAGCAACGGCCUUCUAAGCCGUGGGUCGGGGGUUCGAAUCCCUCCA
rnacentral:tRNA from 1 species